GCACAGUGAGCAUACAAAAAAUGCUAACUAGUUAGUGCUUGUUAUCCAGUGUUGCUUUGGGGAACACUAGGUUUUAAUGGCUCUGGUAGGAGCAGCUUUGCCACCAGAGGAGGGAUUAAAAGAAAAGCUACAAUGAAACUUCUCUGUAAGUACUACUAACAGUGUAAUGUUUUCUUCAGGGGUCACACAAGCAAUUCAUAGUUAACAUUAAUUCUGGUCUAUUUUUAGUUAGUUUCUUCCAAACUUUUUCAAUAGCACUAUAUAUAUAUAUAUUUACAUACACUGCCAUUUAUUGCAACUGCAAAGAGAAAAGGGAAGUGAACGUUGUCCAGGGCCAGCUAAGCUGUCCCAGCAAUUCUGGGGCACUGUUUGACCAAUGGAAAUAUCUUCACUCUGUCAGUUCAAGGAUAAUAACAGAGAUGUAAUGGACAAAUGGCACACCUCACCAUUUCUUUCAGGGAAAUAUGAUGGCUCCAGCAUACAUAUACAAAAGACCUUUAAGAAAGUUUUCUUAACAUGAUUGUUGUCAGCCUCUUACCUUCUCCCUUCUUUCCUGCUUCACUUUGCACUGUGUGGCCUCACUUCAAGCACUGGGUGCAGUUUUGGGUGUCACAACAUAAGAAUGCCAUAAAAACAUGAGAGGGCAUCCACAGGAGGGCCAUGAUGAUGGUGAAAGGUCUGGAGGGCAAGUAGCAUGAGGAGGGGCUGAUAUCUCAUUGUUUGUUCAGCUCAUAGCAGAGGAGGCUGAGCAGAGGCCUAAUGGCGGCCUGCAGCCUCUCACAUGGGGAGUGGAGGGGCAGCACUGAGCUCUGUUGGUGACAGCCAGGGAAGGAGCUGUGGAUAUUGCUGAUACCACAGAAGCACCUCUUCCAGCCCUCCUGCAUCCUUGUGGUCACAAGGGGAAGAUAACUACUGAGGGCUUCUAACAUUAUUUCCAAGGAGAGCUGCUUGCUGCAUGAUUAUCUUGCCUUUUGGAGAGCCCUCUCUCUCCACCAUUGAUAAGCUUCUACAGGAUUUGCAGCAGUUGUCUGAAGGCACCUGGCCUACCCAGCUCAGUGAAAGCCCCCAGGGACCCACGUGUCUGGAAGAUGGAAGACUGUCUGAGCCCUUCUGUGAAAGAGCAGUACCGUGACCUGGCAAGGAGCCACAGCCCUUGAGUUACUCCAGCGAGAUGAGAAUGCCCCAUGACUCCCAGCAACACAGGCUGCCAAGAGUGCAUCAAACCUCCAGCACUCCGUCCUGGGGAGCUGAGCCACAUUCCAAGACUCCAGCAUUAUCUACAAAGUGGUUUUGCAGCAUGGACUGUACUCUUGGAAGUUUUAGUUGAAAGAUGCUUCUUUUCUCAAAAAGAAGCAUGAUAACUGGAUAACUUGUAUGUUUGAGAAUAUAUGCACACUGUGUCUACAACAGGCUGCAGUUAUUCUGAAAGUAAAAGAAACUUCUCACUUUCUGUGUAGUUAAUUUUAAAAAAAUUGAAAGUAAAGGUCUCACAGUUUCCUAUCUACACACCUGUCACCUUAGAGCCUUGAAUCUCAUCAUCACUGAAGGCAGGACAGCAACACGGUGACUUAUAUAUUCAGUUUCUUAAGGCUGAAAAAAAAAGGAAGUUUGCUUGUGAAGAGUUCCCAUAAGGCUUAAGAUAAACUAUUUCAGGGCAAUUAGUACCCAAAAAUGUUUAGAUAAUACAGUACAGCAACAUUAAACAAACCACAAAAAAUUAUUUGCCUUAGGCAUUAAACAGUGUUUACCUGCAGUAGCUAAUGAACACAGGGGGAGCUCUGACACAUACUGGAGUGAGUAAACUAAGUGAAAUUCUUCUCCCAAGGAACUUCUAACACCAGCUUCCUUGAAGCCACUUCAUCUCUCUCAUUUACUUCAUGACUGUUGUGAUUUUCCUGGCUUACAUCAGAACAUCUUGUUCCUCUUAUUUAUGUCCUGCACUGUAGUGACUAGAGAACACAAAAAGUACACAGGUGGCCCCAAUAGCAGUUUUCCAGCUCACUGAAACAGAACUUCCCUCUUCCUUGGUUAGUUAAGUCAGUGACUUUUGGAAAUAACCACUUCCUUUGUAGGCAUUUUCAUCACCCUCCUAACAAAUACAUUUCUAUCUCCCUUGCUCCACUUUGCUGCCAUAUGUAAUCUCCAUCCACUAGAGCAGAGUGAUGGUAAUUGUGCACUCUCACCUUCAUGGGGUAAUUAUCAUGCAUAUCUUUUCAUUUCAUCUUUCUNUAUUUGGUGGUUACUGCACACAUUCUCCUUAAAUGAACUCAUAUGUCAUAAUAUUUCACUGUACAAAUUACAUGAGUAAUAGCCUCUCUAUUGUAAAGUUUUAAAAUAAUACACCUUUUAUGAAGGAGUAGUUGCUGGUUGCUUAACUUAUUCUCACUGUUAUGGAAAAAGGAGAAAGAUAAAGUAAGAGAAAGUGUCUAUUUCCCUCCCAUAGAAAGCCUUCACUUUACUGGUAGAAUCCUUCAGGAGCAAGGGCUCUAAGUGAGAGAGAGUGAAGAAUAAUGGUAACUCAAUGAACAAAUAUGUCUGGUUAAUCUUAAUUGUUGACAAGGAUUCCAGUAAAAAUGUGAUCUCAAAUGAACCACAAUCUGAAGGGCUCUGCUGAAACUGGUCAUGCCUUAAAGGGACUGUGAUGUCUUCUGGAAAGGAUUCUGGUUUAGAACAAUUAUGAUUACACUAUAUUUUUCCAAUAUUUCUUUUCUUAUCUGCCAUAAAAAUAAAUAAAUAAAUAAAUAAAUAAAUCCCA
rnacentral:lncRNA from 1 species